GCACCACAAUGGAGGAGGCGAGGGAGCAAGGGCUGCAGAUAUCCAGCACCGGUUCCUCACAGUCGGGUGGCGGCAGUAGCAGAAAGUCUUCUUCCUCCUCUGACCUUUGAUCGUCAUGAUCCAACAUGGUGGAAAUCUCGCCUGGACCGGUUUAAUGUAUACUGUGACGGCACAUGCACAACCCCUCAUUCCUUCUACUGCAUGCUCGGCUGGCACCUCCGCUGGCAGCGCGCCAGGACACGCACCUGGGACUAAUGAAGGCAAACAGCAUAAAGACCAGCGGACCCGAAGAUCCAGCGCCGGAACAUAGUUCACUCCUCGUAUGCCCUUCCUGUUUCCCGUGAUCGAGCUGUGUGCCUCGACUCCUUUCUGGAUUUUGGACUGCCUCCCUCGAUCCUUGACGCUUGCUUGGACAUGGGCCUCUUUGCUCCUCUCCAGCCCCCAACCCACGGACUGCCUUCUCGCCUUGCCCCUCUGCUCUGACGAAGGAUUCAUCCAACACGCACUUACAAGAAACUCUGGUAUCAUUUACAUUGUUAAUUCUACACAUUGCCCUGCACUUCACACUUAGAGUAGCAUACACAUCCCACACA